rnacentral:sRNA from 1 species
GUUGCUUGGAUCAGUCUAGGUGCAGCUGCCAGAUCCUUCAGCGUCCGCAUCUCGGCGUCGCCCAGCGUAGCGUCGCCCGGCUCUCCGCCGCUCUCCCGGGGGUUCGGGGCACUUGGUUCCCACAGUCUGGUCCUGCUUCACCUUCCCCUGACCUGAGUAGUCGCCAUGGCACAGGUUCUCAGAGGCACUGUGACUGACUUCCCUGGAUUUGAUGAGCGGGCUGAUGCAGAAACUCUUCGGAAGGCCAUGAAAGGCCUGGGCACAGAUGAGGAGAGCAUCCUGACUCUGUUGACAUCCCGAAGUAACGCUCAGCGCCAGGAAAUCUCUGCAGCUUUUAAGACUCUGUUUGGCAGGGAUCUUCUGGAUGACCUGAAAUCAGAACUAACUGGAAAAUUUGAAAAAUUAAUUGUGGCUCUGAUGAAACCCUCUCGGCUUUAUGAUGCUUAUGAACUGAAACAUGCCUUGAAGGGAGCUGGAACAAAUGAAAAAGUACUGACAGAAAUUAUUGCUUCAAGGACACCUGAAGAACUAAGAGCCAUCAAACAAGUUUAUGAAGAAGGUAAAUGUUUGUGAGUUAUAUUUUGACUUCCCCUCCACUGUCACUUCCUUCAUUUCUCUGAUUUGAAUGCAGUCCUUUGUAGGUAUGGGAAGCAGGCAGUAAAUGAUGGUUGAAUGAAUGAAUGAAUGACCUGCAAUUCAAGCUAUUUUUCUCCUUCAGUAAGGAAAAGACUGCCUUGUUAUCCUCUACUAUUUUAAUAUUUUAUAAGAAGCUACUGCUGAAGAUGGAGUUUACUUUUGCAUAGGAUUUGCAAUUAGUGUAGAGAUAUACAGGUUGUCUUUAUGUUAACAUUAAGGUAAAAAUGG